ACUCAAAUGCUCAUCCUUGCUUAAAUUAAAUGUUUUCAGUUACGUACGAUCGACCUGAAGGCUCAGUUACGAACAAGGGAAAAGAAAAGCUAUUCGAAUGAGAUUUAGUAUGAGUUAAUGGUUAUAGUUAGUAAGACAAUGGAAUCUAUUGUCAAAUAUUGUAAGGAAUGUAUUUGAAGGUCACGUACCUGGGGAAGUAAACUUUGAUGUAUGUAAAUUAAGUUCGAAUGUAUUAUUAUUUAGUAUUAUUCAGCUUAAAGAAAUUGUAUCGUGGAGAACCGAGUUCGGGUUUCAAGUAUCCGGAUUUGGGGUCGCCACA
rnacentral:lncRNA from 1 species